GACGAACGCUGGCGGCGUGCUUAACACAUGCAAGUCGUACGGUAAGGCCCUUCCUGUGGUACACGCUUGGCGAACGGGUGAGUAACUCGUGCGUAACCUGCCCACCACUUUGUUUUAACUCUAUUAAACUGGUUCUAAUUCUUGCUAUGUGCUCCUUCCUCCUGGUUGGGGUUGGAAAGCUCCUGCGGUUGUGGAUGGACUCGCGGCCUACCAGUCUGUUUGUGGGGUAGUUGGCUACCAAGGCGGCGAUGGGUAGCCGGCCCGGCGGGGUGAACGGCCAAAUUGGGAAUGGGAAACGGGCCAGAACCCUAAGGGGGGGAGGAGGGGGGAAUAUUGCACAAAGGGCGGAAGGCUGAUGCAGGAAAGCCGGGGGCGGGAUGACGGGCUUCGGGUUGGAAACCGGUUUCAGCAGGGACGAAGCUUUGUGUGACGGUAACUGGAGAAGAAGCACCGGCUAACUACGUG
rnacentral:rRNA from 1 species